CCUUCGAUAGCUCAGCUGGAAGAGCAUCAGACUGUAAUUGGCUAUUCACUUACCUCAUAUAUCUGGGGGUCCCUGGUUCGAUCCCGGGUCGAAGGA